rnacentral:tRNA from 1 species
AAGCCCCGGCAGGUGUCAGCCUGCAACUUCAGAUUUGCAAUCUGAUAUGUAAACACCUCAGGGCU